rnacentral:rRNA from 1 species
ACUGCAUUUAUGUGGAAGGGGUGAAGUUAUUAGAUUCAAAAACCAGCGCCGGGGGGACUCGGCAGCUUAUUUUGGUGAAUCAUAGUAACUGAUCGGAUCGUAUUUCUUUAUGUUGACGACGCAUCAUUCAAAUUUCUGCCCUAUCAACUUGAUUGUAGGAUAGAGGCCUACAAUGGUGACAACGGGUAACGGGGGAUUAGGGUUCGAUUCCGGAGAGGGAGCAUGAGAAACGGCUACCACAUCUAAGGAUGGCAGGCGCGAAAAUUCCACCCUUGCAAAUCGCAGAUGGAGUGACAAGAAAUAACAAAGAGGGUCCUUUAUAGGAUUCUCUAUUGGAAUGAGAACAACGUAAAACCUUUAUCGAGGAACAAUUGGAGGGCAAGUCUGGUGCCAGCAGCCGCGGUAAUUCCAGCUCCAAUAGCGUAUACUAAAGUUGCUGCGGUUAAAAAGCUCGUAGUUGAAAUUUUUUGAGGAAGAUAGGGGUUGGCCUUGCUAGGAUCUAAUCGUCUUAGCUUGUUGCUGCUUCUUUUUGAUUGUGUCGGGGUGCUUGUCGGCUUCGGUCGGUCGGGUAUCUUGGACCUUUGGUUCUUCGGAAUUGAGGGGAGCAAUCUCUUUCUCGUUCGAGUGUGUUGGAGGCGGUUAACGCCGUUUUCUGGCAUGCGAGAGUUCCUUGGGUUAUGGCGCUUCUGCCCUUUAUUGGGUGGUAGUGUUGUGCCUAAGAUUUUACUUUGAGAAAAUUAGAGUGUCCAAAGCAGGCCAUUGGCUUUGCCUUAUUGCCGUGAAUACGUUAGCAUGGAAUAAUGGAAUAGGGCUGUUGCUCUAUUUUUGUCGGUUUUUGGAGGGCGAUAGCAAUGAUUAAAAGGGACGGUUGGGGUGAUUAGUACUUCAUAGUCAGAGGUGAAAUUCUGGGAUUUAUGGAAGACUAACAUAUGCGAAAGCAUUUCACAAGGAUGUUUUCAUUAAUCAAGAGCGAAAGUUCGGGGUUCAAAGAUGAUCAGAUACCGUCGUAGUCCGAACCAUAAACUAUGCCGACUGGGGAUUGGGGGACGUACAAUUUUAUGAUGACUCCUUCAGCACCCUAUGAGAAAUCUUUGAGUUUUUGGGUUCCGGGGGGAGUACGGUCGCAAGGCUGAAACUUAAAGGAAUUGACGGAAGGGCACAACCAGGAGUGGAGCUUGCGGCUUAAUUUAACUCAACGCAGGAAAACUUACCAGAGCCAGACACGGUUAGGAUUGACAGAUUGAGAGCUCUUUCUUGAUUCCGUGAAAGGUGGUGCAUGGCCGUUCUUAGUUCGUGGAUUGAUUUGUCUGCUCAAUUGCGUUAACGAACGAGACCUUCGCCUACUAAAUAGUUAUAUCAAGGUUUUGACUGAAUGGCAUUGCC